UACGUAGGGGGCAAGCGUUGUCCGGAUUUAUUGGGCGUAAAGAGCGUGUAGGCGGCCAGACAGGUCCGUUGUGAAAACUCGAGGCUCAACCUCGAGACGCCGAUGGAAACCGUCUGGCUAGAGUCCGGAAGAGGAGAGUGGAAUUCCUGGUGUAGCGGUGAAAUGCGCAGAUAUCAGGAAGAACACCUAUGGCGAAGGCAGCUCUCUGGGACGGUACUGACGCUGAGACGCGAAAGCGUGAGGAGCGAACAGG
rnacentral:rRNA from 1 species